UUGUGUUUGUCUCUCCUGAACGAAGUAAAUAAAAGCGUGAAUUCGACGUGCAGCGUCAGUGUCGUCAACGAUGCAUUCGUUUGUGAUUGUGUCAUUUUAAGGGUAUGAAUAUUUGGUUUGCAGUUGUAAUCGCAUUGGCAUCCCUCAUUUAGACGGAGAUAAGUUGACCCGUAGCGUCAACUGCUCAAGCAUAGGUCCAUUGACUUUCAAAUUUUAAAUCGCAUUUUAAUUUUUAUGGAGACCGGUAAUAUUUUGCAAUGUUUCAUUUAGUGUUUAUGUCAAGUAUAUUGUAUUUCCCGGUUAAUGUUUUUGGAGGGGGGACCAUUUUAGUUUCAACAUUUGCAUUAUACUAUUACAUAAAGUCGAGACAUGUCAACAAUGGAAUAUUUUUUAAUACAUGUCGCAUAAGGAAUAUUGUAUGAGUUUUUAGUACUGUACUAGUUGUGAUAUGAUGCGUCCUUUAUUACAAAAAUUGUAUAUUCUGUCAGGUGAGAUAUGUCUUUCAUUGAGAAUAAUGACUGUGUAUAGCAGGGUAGUUAUAUAGUUGUGUGUAUCAAAUACUUUCUAUAUCGAACCUAUAUGAUUAUGAUAACUAAUAGCUGUCUAUUGAAAUCAUGGAGACCGGCUAAAUAAAAGUGCUAUAUUAGAUUUGGUUUCUUUGAAUUAAAAGUAUAUGAUCGCCAAUUUCUUAGCAGUCACACAUAGUUUAUAGUAAUAUAACUUUUAUAAUCGUUCUUUAAUAAGUAG
rnacentral:lncRNA from 1 species